rnacentral:rRNA from 1 species
AUUGAACGCUGGUGGCAUGCCUUACACAUGCAAGUCGAACGGUAACGGGCCUUCGGGUGCCGACGAGUGGCGAACGGGUGAGUAAUACAUCGGAACGUGCCCGAUCGUGGGGGAUAACGAGGCGAAAGCUUUGCUAAUACCGCAUACGAUCUACGGAUGAAAGCAGGGGACCGCAAGGCCUUGCGCGGACGGAGCGGCCGAUGGCAGAUUAGGUAGUUGGUGGGAUAAAAGCUUACCAAGCCGACGAUCUGUAGCUGGUCUGAGAGGAUGAUCAGCCACACUGGGACUGAGACACGGCCCAGACUCCUACGGGAGGCAGCAGUGGGGAAUUUUGGACAAUGGGCGCAAGCCUGAUCCAGCCAUGCCGCGUGCAGGAUGAAGGCCUUCGGGUUGUAAACUGCUUUUGUACGGAACGAAAAGCCUUCUUUUAAUACAGGAGGGUCAUGACGGUACCGUAAGAAUAAGCACCGGCUAACUACGUG